GUGUUAUUUAUAAUCUCUAUGUAUAGUACAGCCCGGCUGGCAGCCGAGCAAUCGGAGACAAAAUUUCCGGCUGUCAGCCGGCGUCAAACGCGCUAAUCGGGUGGUCGUUCACGUGUUGUCAAAAGAAAACAAAAUGGCGAAACAUCAUCCAGAUUUGAUUAUGUGCAGAAAGCAGCCUGGCGUUGGUAAGAACUUGAUGAUUUUUGAAUUUAGUUGUUUGAAAAUACGUGAAAAUUAAAUAUGUGAUAUUUUUAUUUUGGUUUUAUAGCAAUCGGACGACUCUGUGAAAAAUGUGA